CAAUAGCGUAUAUUAAAGUUGUUGCAGUUAAAAAGCUCGUAGUUGGAUUUCUGGCUGGAGCGAUCGAUCCGCCCCGCAAGGGGUGUGUACUAGCGUCGUCUCCGACCAUCCUUGUGGGAACUGUGCGGCCGUUAACUCGGUUGUAUAUGGGAACACAUCGUUUACUGUGAAAAAAUUAGAGUGUUUAAAGCAGGCUUAAGCCGUUGAAUACAUUAGCAUGGAAUAAUAAGAUAAGACUUGGGUCAUUAUUUUGUUGGUUUGCGGAUCGAGGUAAUGAUUAAUAGGGAUAGUUGGGGGUGCUGCUAUUAUAUGGCCAGAGGUGAAAUUCACGGAUUCAUAUAAGAGCAACUUAUGCGAAAGCAUUCACCAAGGAUGUCUUCUUUAAUCAAGAACGAAAGUUGGGGAUCGAAGAUGAUUAGAUACCGU
rnacentral:rRNA from 1 species